GAAGCCGGGCGUGGUGGUGCAGGCUUUUAAUCCCAGCUCUCGAGAAGCAGAGGCAGGCGGAUUUCUGAUUUCGAAGCCAGCCUGGUCUACAAAGUGAGUUCCAGGACAGCCUGGGCUACACAGAGAAACCCUGUCUUGAACCAACCCCCCCCCCCCAAACAAACAAACAAACCUGAAGGAAGCUUGAGCAACACAGCAAAACCUGCAAAAUUUGUUUUUAAAGAGAUUUAUUUAUUUUUAUAAACUUUGCUCUUGUCAUUUUCCCUAAACAAUAUAAUUUGUCAACUAUUUGCACAUCACCCGCACUGUUUUAGGUAGAAUCAGAAAUGAUCGCAGUGUUGAGAACAACGUGUGUAGGUAGUUUGUAAAUAUACAUCUCUGUUCCUGAGGGACUUUGGUGCCCACAGAUUUUGUUAUCCAUGUGGUUUGGGGGGAUCCUGGAACUAGACUAUCAUAGAUGGAGAGACAACCAUAUUUGCUGUGCUACUUCCCUCUGGGGAAACUGAGGUAUAGGGAGACCCGCUGACUCCUGGGGCUAACAUGAAAGUAGAGGGUCCCUGAACAUCAGGCCCAGGGUUCUGACUCAUGUGCCUCAGUUUGCCCAUAGAUUUUCUUUUUCUUAUUUUUAAGAUUUAUUUAUUUAUUAUAUGUAAGUACACUGUAGCUGUCUUCAGGCACCCCAGAAGAGGGCAUCAGAUCUCAUUACAGAUGGUUGUGAACCAUCUCUCCAGCCCAUUGUUGUUUUUAAAGAUAUAUUUUUUAGAUUUUAAUGUGUGUGAGUGAGAUUUAUUAGCCGGGCGUGGUGGCCGCACGCCUUUAAUUCCAGCACUCGUGAGACAGAGGCAGGCAGAUUUCUGAGUUCGAGGCCAGCCUGGUCUACAAAGUGAGUUCCAGGACAGCCAGGGCUAUACGGAGAAACCCUGUCUUAAAAAACCAAAAAAGAAAAAAAAAAAAAAGAGAGAGAGAGAUUUAUUGCAGGGCACGCCUUUAAUCCUAGGAUUUGGGAGGCAGAUGCAGGCCGAUCUCUGAGCUCUGAUCUACAGAACUAGUUCCAGGACAGCCAGGAGUACACAAAGAAAACAGUUUUUCUAUUAUAUUUUUAAUUUUGUGUAUAUGUAUGUGCAUGAGCACUGGUUGGGCCAGAGAGCAGAGAUGUGGGUUUCCCUUGGGACUGGAAUUACAGUGGACAUGUGUGGCAAGGAACUGAACUCUGGUCCUCUGCAUGACCAGUUCAUGCUCAGCUCCUAAUCUAUCUCUCUCACCCAUCAAACAUCGUUAAAAUACACUUUUUAAAGAGACAUUUCAAUGAUUAAAAUAAUUUUUCAAGCAGUAACAUAAUUGUGCCUAUACCUUUAAUUCCAGUAGUAGGGAGCCAGAGGCAGGUAGAUCUCUGAGGUCAAGGACAGCCUGGUCUUCUAUAAAGCAAGUUCCAGGACAGCCAGGCCUACACAGAGAAAUCGUGUCUUGAAAAACAAAACAGCAGGCGGGGAGUGGUGGCGAAUGCCUUUAAUCCCAGCAUUUGGAAGGCAGAGACAGGUGGAUUUCUGAGUUUGAGGCCAGCCUGGUCUACAAAGUGAGUUCCAGGACAGCCCUAAAAAAAAAAAAGAAAGAAAGAAAGAAAGAAAGAAAGAAAGAAAGAAAGAAAGGAAGGAAGGAAGGAAGAAGAAAGAAAGAAAGAAAGAAAGAAAGAAAGAAAGAAAGAAAGAAAGAAAGAAAGAAAGAAAAGACCAACAAAACCAAAGGGGAAGGGUGUUGUGUCAAUAUUUUAUGAGGAGCUGUGACUAUACUGAGCAAAUUCUUCCCUAGCUCUAAAUACCACUGUAUAAAUUUGUUAAUGUGUUUAUGUGUAAAUGCACAGAGAUAUAAUCCUAAUUAUUAAUGGUUUCUAUAAUAAGAGACUAUUAUCCUUCUGGUUAGUUUCUGGUACAGAAUAUAAGACCCACCAACAAAGGAAGUCAUUAUAAGCAUUGUGGGAGGGGCGUGUCUGGCCCAGUGGUUUCUGCUAGCUACACUGAUGUGUUGCUAUAAAUGAUAUGAUUUUCAGUGUUCAUGAUUUCAAAAUAUCGCAUAAUUACCAUUCAGCACAUUGGGGUGGGAGAUGCUUUUGUAUUAAUUCAUUAUCACUUGACUCAGGUCAUGAAUUUAUAAUAAGCCACAGCUUUUUGUUUCUUUUCAAAACAAGAAAAAUAUCAAGUAUGGAAGGUUAUAAAAUAUAAUACUAGGUGUGAGAAUUAGGUUUUUACGUUCCAAAAAAAAAAAAAAAGUCAGGAUGGUCACUUUCAUCACUCCAAGAGUAACAGCCAUAGGUAAAAUACUAUCUCUAAUGCUUGUGAAUUGCUAGAAAAAUCUGAACAGUAAAGAACUUUUCAACAGAAACUAUAGCAUUGAUGGGUGCAUUGGCACAUUCAGUACUCAGGAGGCUAACACAGGAAGAUCAGGAGUUCUAGGAUAGCCUAAGCUACCUCACCAGACUUAAAAAGAAAGGAAGAGAGAAAAGAAAUGAGGGAGGGAUGAAGGAAAAAUGAAAAGAACUAAAUUAUAUACUCAGUUUUGUGCCUGGUUAAAACAAAACAAAACAAAACAAAACAAACAAAGAAACAGGCUGAAUAUAAAUUCAACAACCACUAAACCUUUGUGGAAUGAGGUAGGGUUAAAAUCCAAAGACCAGAAGCAUAAUCAGCUCAAUGCCCAGAUGACCUCUCAUUUCCUAUGGUACAAUGUUAACUUUACUGCUACUAUAAGGAACAGAAUUCAGAAUAAAACCAAUUCUAAGAAGGAAUUAUCUUUGAUGCAAUAUUCUAGGAGGAUAGUAUCCAUUUACACUCAGGGUAUAGUCAGAAAUGACACAUGAAAUAAAAGUAGCUUGGAUCAUGCAUAUAUUUAAUAGUAAAACGGUCAUUAACAAUAAAAAUUAGAAAAUUUGGUGAGACCUCAGUGCUGUGAAAGAAAAUGAGACAAGUAAAAAAGACAGCAAGUGUCCCAGGAGGUGAUGCCAGGAGUCAGCAGAGGCAAACUGGGCUGACAGUUACAGAGUCUACGGAACGGGUAAAAACGUCCCUAUGUAUCUGAGUCUUGGAAGCAGGCAUUCUUACUGUAGACUGCACAGAAUGGAGGCAGUUACAGUGAGGCAGGACAGAAGAGCAAUGAGAAAUCAGGAUAAGGAGAUGGGGAAACCAGGAUACAAUUACAUAGAGAUGACUCUAAGGCCUUUUGUUUCUUCUAAACUCUUAAGUUUUAAAGCAUGUCACUUAAUUCCAGAUGGUGAGUUGCAGAGUACAGUAAGGGAACGGUGGGAUGGACUGGGAUGACAGGUGCCUGCUCUCAGAGAGCUUACAGCCUAUGUGAGACAGAUGCUUCCCCCUCACCCACCCUGGGUUCACUACAAAACAUUUAUAACGUGAAACACAUACAAAUAAAUAUACAUAUGGAUAACGUAGGAAUGCUAAGAAGUACUGUGUUAACAACUUCGUAGGGCUCCCUAGGUCAGUCAGUGAGGGUUUCCUAAAGGAAAAGAGUGUCAGUAUGAUGGUAGUGGAGGGUCAGAGGGUAGAGUUUGUGCAAAGGUACAGAAGUUGGGAUAAAUAUGUCAUUUCAGUAACCAAUUAGCUUGAUUAGAGGAAAUAUCUAACAGAGCUGGUUAGAGAGAAUAAACAGCCACCUGGGAGUCUGAAGCCUCAGGAUCCCAAGUUCAAAGCCAGCCUCAGCAACCUGUCUGUAAACAAAAAGUGUAAGUAAGAGAAGGCUCCUGAGGGCACAGCUCAGGUUCAGCACUUCCUAAGCAUGUUU
rnacentral:lncRNA from 1 species